GAAACUUCAGCUAAACUCAUUUCAUCUGUUCUCUCUUUCUUACCUUUACCUGUCCCGAGGUGGAGUCCAGCUCAUUUCUCUCCUGGUUUAUUGUUGUCAUAAGGGGCUGAGCUCAAAGUCUAGGGUGAUGCUACCAAGGCAAAAACAUCAUUGGAUCCUCCUUUCCUACUAUAUGCCCUCUCCUUAUCAUUGCUGAGAAGGAAUUCAUUAUGUUUUCCAUGUACAGAAGAAACAGAAAUUAUCUUCUUGCUAACCGAUUUUCUUGGUCCUCCCUCUCUUUGGAAAAGCGAAGAAGUGCUCUUUUGCAUGGACAAGACCCUGGUUUUCCUUUGAGGCUUAGAAUCACCAUAUAGGAAAAUUCAGAGGAGACUUGUUUCCCCAGUACCCACCCCGCACUGUGCAGAAGACCCGAAAUGGAGUUAUAUCCUUCUUUCUAGCAUGCUGUCUACCAUGGCCAAUGACAACAGCUUGCUGUGCCAGCACUCCUGAUCCCCUCAGCUCAGUAUUUUCAGCUUUACCAUCAUAUGAGUGAAAAUUAAGGACUUGUGUCCCCAGGAUGCUUGCUGGACCUCCAAGAAAGCCACAUGGCUGCAUUUGCCAUCAGCUCCUAUGUAUUCUAAAACUGCACCUAUGCCUACAGAUUUUGAUGAAAUGCACUACCAGUAGCUAAAAUUAAUAAUCAUACUUGAUACCAAAAAUCAGGUGAACAAUGUAGGCAUUGCUUUUGUGUUGCAUUAUAAUUUCUGGAUCUUCAUUUGUAUGUGCCAUUUAUGAUACAUCGUAAUCCCCACUCCCCCAUCUCUACCAUUCACAGUCUUCCAAUAUCUGUCACUCUGUAAAUAACCUACUUACCAUGCUUUCAUCGCACAAGCAACCCCUUCACUGUAUGUAAACCAACUAUUUUUUUAUCUUGGAUUGUCUAGGUAAUGCAUACCUGAUCAUAUGCUUAGAAAUUGUUCUCACUUUGCAUUUAAUGCUAAAAUACAGUGAUUGUCUCUUUUCCUGAAUAUUCUAGUUACUCUGUCCCCUUUAGAAAGGGGUACUUGCAUGUAAAACAUGCUUCAAAAAGACUCA